CGGUCUAUGUCACCUUUAAUGAAAGAAAAAAUAUUCAUUAUAGCUUUAAUAAUGAUGGAUUAACCUGUAACUGAAGCCUUGGACAGGAGUAGACCUGGUUGUAUGAUAUUGAAUUCAGCUUUAUCAAUGUGCUACAGAGUGACGACUGUGUCUUCUGUGCUUGCCUGUAUGCAAAUUGAAAGGAAUCCUAGGAAUGAGCUCUUCCUGAGUUGAGAUGUUGGACUAUAGUCUAAAUGUGUCCAUAUAUUAUAUCUGUGUUAUUGUCUGGUUUCAGCAAGUGUCCUAUUGUAAGACAGUAGAGGUGACAGCUCUAAACAUGUGAGAGGAAAAACUAUUUUAAUUUAAUUUUCAUCAUCAGCCUGUGGAAAAAUCCUGUGUGUCAACAUGUCACUGCUGCUAACAGCACUAAUGAUUAUUGAAUUAUUUAAAGUACUUUUUAUGAAAAUGCAAAGUCAAAGAUCAUGUUUUUCCUCUCACAUGUCUCACACUGUCUGACAUGAGGACACAGACAACAACACAAACACAUGUGCAGGUAGGCAAGCAGGUAGAUACAUAGGGAGGCACGAAGGCCGUCAUCAGUGUCAACAAUUCACUGCUGCCAACAACGCUAACGAUUAUUGAAUUAUUUAAAGUCCUUGUUUGAACUCCAAACUCAUGAUAAUUAUUUGAUUGAAUCUGCAUGUGUUUAUACUGAGGAGGAAACAUGUCAGGUGUUCACCUGCACCUCCUCUGUGAGUGAAGUCAUCUACAUUAACCUGGAGAAACCAUCAGUCAUCAGAGGAGGUGGACUAAAGACACAGUUCCAUUAUACAGUAGGUACAUAUGUGUGUAGGUAGGUACGCAACAAUAAUUAUCAAGAGUUUGGAGUUCAUACAAGGAAUCCACUCAAGAACAAACAUAAAAUUAAAAUAUCAUUGACUUUUAUUUGGUUUAUAACUCCACCCCUCUUGUCUGAGUUCACCAGAUAAAAAAGGACAAACUCUUGUGUCGUCGUCAAUCUGAAACAACACUUUCAAAAACAACCAUGGGUCGUUAUGGUGUGGCUGUUCUGGCUCUGCUCGUUCUCCUGAUGCUUUAUGUUGCAGAGAACGAGGCUCAGUCUAUAAGCAGAAUCCGUUGGACAUGCCGAUCUGAGUGUCGGUCAUAUGAAUAUGCACUUAGUGUGGGCUGCGGCGACCAACUGUGUUGCUGUGCGGCUUCAUUCAGACAGAGCUGGAAUCAGAUGGUCGGACAGUGAGAAGACAAUGUUGCUCACUCUACUGACCUCGAAAUAUUCAAAUCAGUUCUUCUGCUGAUUUCAGUUCAGGUGGAAUAAAUAUUCCCUUAACAUCA